CAGGAAGUAGUUUAUUAGAAUAUCAGCUUUGGGUGUUGAUGGUGAGGCGUUGUAGCCUUCUUCUUGA
rnacentral:tRNA from 1 species